UGAAAAUCUGCUGUUUUGCAGAAUUUGAUUCUUUAGCUCUCGAAAACCUUCCACAACACACUUUUGAUCGUUUUAACAUCUUCGGACUUUCCGAAGUGUACCAUCCUCGCACUUUGGUCAAUUUGACUAAAGUUCGAUAUUUNAAUCUGCUGUUUUGCAGAAUUUGAUUCUUUAGCUCUCGAAAACCUUCCACAACACACUUUUGAUCGUUUUAACAUCUUCGGACUUUCCGAAGUGUACCAUCCUCGCACUUUGGUCAAUUUGACUAAAGUUCGAUAUUUAUUUUUCGAAUUUUCGGUAUAUUACACUUACUAUUCUUUGUGAUAACACAAGUGCAAUUAAUAUUUCUAAAAACCCUGUUUUACAUUCUCGAACAAAACAUAUUGAACUUAGAUAUC
rnacentral:lncRNA from 1 species